rnacentral:rRNA from 1 species
AGCAGUCGCCGCGGUAAUCCGUAGGUCCCGAGUGUUGUCCGGAUUUAUUGGGCGUAAAGGGAGCGCAGGCGGUUUAGUAAGUCUGAAGCUAAAGGCAUUGGCUCAACCAAUGUAUGCUUUGGAAACUGUUAGACUUGAGUGCAGAAGGGGAGAGUGGAAUUCCAUGUGUAGCGGUGAAAUGCGUAGAUAUAUGGAGGAACACCGGUGGCGAAAGCGGCUCUCUGGUCUGUCACUGACGCUGAGGCUCGAAAGCGUGGGUAGCGAACAGGAUUAGAGACCCCCGUAGUCCCUGUCUCUUAUACA